CGUGAGGGAAAGGUGAAAAGAACCCCGGGAGGGGAGUGAAAUAGUACCUGAAACCGUAUGUCUACAAGCAGUCGAAGCGAAAGCGACGGCGUGCCUAUUGAAGAAUGAACCAACGAGUUAUCUGCACUAGCGAGGUUAAGUGGAAGACACGGAGCCGUAGCGAAAGCGAGUCUUAAGAGGGCGCUAGUUAGUGUAGGUAGACCCGAAACCGCAGUGAUCUACCCAUGUCCAGGUUGAAGCGCAGGUAAAAUUGCGUGGAGGACCGAACCGGUGAGCGUUGAAAAGCUUUCGGAUGAGAUGUGGGUAGGGGUGAAAUUCCAAUCGAACGCGGAGAUAGCUGGUUCUCCCCGAAAUAGCUUUAGGGCUAGCCUGAGGUAGUAAGUAUAGGCGGUAGAGCACUGAUCGGGCUAGGGGCCGUAAAGGUUACCGAACCCUGUCAAACUCCGAAUGGAUAUACUGUAGAGCCUUGGAGUCAGACUACGAGUGAUAAGAUCCGUGGUCAAAAGGGAAACAGCCCAGACCACCAGCUAAGGUCCCCAAUGUCGUACUAAGUGGAAAAGGAUGUGGGGUUUCAUAAACAACCAGGAUGUUGGCUCAGAAGCAGCCACCAUUUAAAGAGUGCGUAAUAGCUCACUGGUCGAGAGACCCUGCGCCGAAGAUUCCCGGGGCUAAAGUACGAAACCGAAGCUGUGGCUGUAUACGUAAAGUAUACGGGGUAGGGGAGCGUUCCCAUAGGGUAGAAGUCGAACUGGAAGGUUCGGUGGACUUGUGGGAAGUGAGAAUGUUGGUAUGAGUAGCGAAAAGAAAGGUGAGAAUCCUUUCCACCGAAAGCAUAAGGAUUCCUGAGCAACGAUCGUCGUCUCAGGGUAAGUCGGGACCUAAUCCGAGGCAGAGAGCGUAGGAGAUGGACAACUGGUUGAUAUUCCAGUACCGGUAGUAAUUGUUUGAGCAAUGGAGUGACACAGAAGGGCAGGCAAGCAUGCGAAUGGAAGAGCAUGUGUAAGCGUGUAGGGUGGUGCAUAGGCAAAUCCGUGCACUGAAAGCCUGAGGCGUGAUGCGGAGUGAGCAGAGAUGCGAGCGAAGUUGUUGACCCCACACUGUCGAGAAAAGCUUCUAGUGAGAGAGCUACCGCCCGUACCGUAAACCGACACAGGUAUGCGGGGAGAGAAUCCUAAGGUGCGCGGGAGAACCCUCGUUAAGGAACUCGGCAAAAUGUACCCGUAACUUCGGGAUAAGGGUAGCCACUGUUGUGAAGUCCCAUGCGGAUGGAGCAUAGAGUGGUCGCAGAGAAGAGGCCCAAGCGACUGUUUACCAUAAACACAGGUGCCUGCUAAAGCGAAAGCUGACGUAUAGGUGCUGACACCUGCCCAGUGCCGGAAGGUUAAGGAAGGAUGUUCGGAUUAGUCCAAAGCAUUCGACUGAAGCCCCGGUGAACGGCGGCCGUAACUAUAACGGUCCUAAGGUAGCGAAAUUCCUUGUCGGGUAAGUUCCGACCCGCACGAAAGGUGUAACGAUUUGGGCACUGUCUCAACGAGGGACCCGGUGAAAUUGAAAUACCUGUGAAGAUGCAGGUUACCCGCGACUGGACAGAAAGACCCCAUGGAGCUUUACUGUAACCUGACAUUGGGUUUUGAUACAUUACGUACAGGAUAGGUGGGAGGCAUGGAAAGCUGGACGCUAGUCUGGCUGGAGCCGACGUUGGGAUACCACCCUUGAUGUAUUGAAAUUCUAACCGCGAGAGUAACGAAAUCCGGGACAGUGUCAGGCGGGCAGUUUGACUGGGGCGGUCGCCUCCGAAAGAGUAACGGAGGCGCCCAAAGGUUCCCUCAGCGCGGCCGGAAAUCGCGCGAAGAGUGUAAAGGCAGAAGGGAGCUUGACUGCGAGUCAAACACGACGAGCAGGUACGAAAGUAGGGCUUAGUGAUCCGGUGGUACCGAGUGGAAGGGCCAUCGCUCAACGGAUAAAAGCUACCCUGGGGAUAACAGGCUAAUCUCUCCCAAGAGUCCAUAUCGACGGGGAGGUUUGGCACCUCGAUGUCGGCUCAUCACAUCCUGGGGCUGAAGUCGGUCCCAAGGGUUGGGCUGUUCGCCCAUUAAAGUGGUACGUGAGCUGGGUUCAGAACGUCGUGAGACAGUUCGGUCCCUAUCCAUCGCGGGCGCAAGAGAUUUGAAGGGGGCUGCUCCUAGUACGAGAGGACCGGAGUGGACGAACCGCUGGUGUACCAAUUAUCCCGCCAGGGGUACAGUUGGGUAGCUACGUUCGGAAAGGAUAAACGCUGAAAGCAUCUAAGCGUGAAACCAGCCUUAAGAUGAGAUCUCUCAUAGAGCAAUCUAGU
rnacentral:rRNA from 1 species